GACGAACGCUGGCGGCGUGCUUAACACAUGCAAGUCGAACGGAAAGGCCCUGCUUUUGUGGGGUGCUCGAGUGGCGAACGGGUGAGUAACACGUGAGUAACCUGCCCUUGACUUUGGGAUAACUUCAGGAAACUGGGGCUAAUACCGGAUAGGAGCUCCUGCUGCAUGGUGGGGGUUGGAAAGUUUCGGCGGUUGGGGAUGGACUCGCGGCUUAUCAGCUUGUUGGUGGGGUAGUGGCUUACCAAGGCUUUGACGGGUAGCCGGCCUGAGAGGGUGACCGGCAAAAUUGGGAAUGAGAUACGGCCCAGACUCAUACGGGAGGCAGAAGUGGGGAAUAUUGAACAAUGGGCGGAAGCCUGAUGCAGCAACGCCGCGUGCGGGAUGACGGCCUUAGGGUUGUAAACCGCUUUCGCCUGUGACGAAGCGUGAGUGACGGUAAUGGGUAAAGAAGCACCGGCUAACUACGUG
rnacentral:rRNA from 1 species